GCCACGAAGCACUGUCGUCGCCGCCGACGUAAGUGCACCGCCGCCAACCCCACCGCACGCAGCCCGCCGCCACCACGCUCCCCACCCCACAUGAAACGGACAUAACAGAAUUCUCGAGUACAAAGUCUUUUGGUUUUGGGUUCUCCCUGUGGCGCUUGUCAACAGAGGGGCGACGAUCAAAACAUGGACGGUGCACAUUGCUCCAGUGACGUUUGGGAUGCCAGAGAAGAUUACCAAUCAAAACCUUUGGUCUUUGUAUUUGAAAUGUUUGCAACUUUGCAUAAUGUAAAUAAUUCUGGGUUUCCCUCCUUCAAAUAGGGGUGUUUGAUUUUUGAAAGUGAAGGGCUAUGAUCUGCAAAAGCUUUAAAGUUUAA